CUGGGGCCUAUAUGUGAUUGUUGACCGAGUAUUGGGUAAUGAUGAAGGUGUAGAAUUGUGUUAUAUAGUGGCUGAAAUCAAAGCAAGAGUGGUUAGCUAGUAUCGUGCUUGGCCAUCAUAUCCUGAAAAAAUGGCCACUUAGCUUUAUGGCAUUGGAAAGAGUUAUGUUCACCAAAAAAGCUGUCUUAUGGUAAGGUGUUAGUUGAUGAUGUGGUUC
rnacentral:lncRNA from 1 species